GAGAGUGACGGUACUUGCAGAAGAAGCGCCGGCUAACUACGUGCCAGCAGCCGCGGUAAUACGUAGGGCGCAAGCGUUGUCCGGRAUUWUUGGGCGUAAAGAGCUCGUAGGCGGUUUGUCGCGUCUGCUGUGAAAGCCCGGGGCUCAACCCCGGGUCUGCAGUGGGUACGGGYAGACUAGAGUGCAGUAGGGGAGACUGGAAUUCCUGGUGUAGCGGUGAAAUGCGCAGAUAUCAGGAGGAACACCGAUGGCGAAGGCAGGUCUCUGGGCUGUUACUGACGCUGAGGAGCGAAAGCAUGGGGAGCGAACAGGAUUAGAUACCCUGGUAGUCCAUGCCGUAAACGUUGGGCACUAGGUGUGGGGGACAUUCCACGUUUUCCGCGCCGUAGCUAACGCAUUAAGUGCCCCGCCUGGGGAGUACGGCCGCAAGGCUAAAACUCAAAGGAAUUGACGGGGGCCCGCACAAGCGGCGGAGCAUGCGGAUUAAUUCGAUGCAACGCGAAGAACCUUACCAAGGCUUGACAUUCACCGGACCGCCCCAGAGAUGGGGUUUCCCUUCGGGGCUGGUGGACAGGUGGUGCAUGGUUGUCGUCAGCUCGUGUCGUGAGAUGUUGGGUUAAGUCCCGCAACGAGCGCAACCCUCGUUCUAUGUUGCCAGCACGUGAUGGUGGGGACUCAUAGGAGACUGCCGGGGUCAACUCGGAGGAAGGUGGGGAUGACGUCAAAUCAUCAUGCCCCUUAUGUCUUGGGCUUCACGCAUGCUACAAUGGCCGGUACAAAGGGUUGCGAUACUGUGAGGUGGAGCUAAUCCCAAAAAGCCGGUCUCAGUUCGGAUUGAGGUCUGCAACUCGACCUCAUGAAGUCGGAGUCGCUAGUAAUCGCAGAUCAGCAACGCUGCGGUGAAUACGUUCCCGGGCCUUGUACACACCGCCCGUCAAGUCACGAAAGUUGGUAACACCCGAAGCCGGUGGCCUAACCCCUUGUGGGAGGGAGCCGUCGAAGGUGGACYKYCGARWGCCU
rnacentral:rRNA from 1 species